rnacentral:lncRNA from 1 species
AUGGUCUCACUCUAUUCAAAACAAGUUUAGAUUUAGUUGUAUCCUAAUCAACCAAGCAUCGAUUUCAUUCCGCCGACCGAGCUCGACGGGAUUCCCAUUUUAAAUGAAAGACAAGUACAAUGAAAACCCCCCAAAACCUUCCUACGAGGUCAAUUGAGAAUAUUACAACUGCCAAAAAAAAAAAAAAAAAAAAAAAAACCCCCCCCCCCCCCCCCCCAAAACCUUCCUACGAGGUCAAUUGAGAAUAUUACAACUGCCAAAAUCUCUUAUGAAUAUGAUCAUCAGCUUUAAAACACGGAACAAAGCUGUAUGCCUGUAUACAAGUGUGAAAAACGCCAUCUUACUUCGAUUGACUUAAAUCUUCGAGAUUGAUUCCAGAUAA